UUGGAGGGCAAGUCUGGUGCCAGCAGCCGCGGUAAUUCCAGCUCCAAUAGCGUAUAUUAAAGUUGUUGCAGUUAAAAAGCUCGUAGUUGAAUUUCGGGGUUCUACCGUUGGUCGGGCUUUGUCUGUACUGGUGUGUAGAAUUUCUACCUUCUGGGGAACCAUCAUGCUAUUAAUUUAGCGUAGUGGGAAACCAGGACCUUUACCUUGAAAAAAUUAGUGUGUUCAAAGCAGGCUUAUGUCUGAAUACAUUAGCGUGGAAUAAUAGAAUAGGACGGUGGUCCUGUUUUGUUGGUUUCUGAAUCACCGUAAUGAUUAAUAGGGAUAGUUGGGGGCAUUAGUAUUCAAUUGUCAGAGGUGAAAUUCUUGGAUUUAUUGAAGACUAACUUCUGCGAAAGCAUUUGCCAAGGAUGUUUUCAUUAAUCAAGAACGAAAGUUAGGGGAUCGAAGACGAUCAGAUACCGUCGUAGUCUUAACCAUAAACUAUGCCGACUAGGGAUCGGACGAUGUUAAUUUUUCUUGACUCGUUCGGCGCCUUACGGGAAAC
rnacentral:rRNA from 1 species